UAAUCUCUCACAUCUUAUUUUUGGGUUUAAUCGCUCGCUGAUAAGAUUGUGGAUUUGGAUAAUCUGUUCUUUACAGAACCGUUAUCUUAAUUUUAAUGUCAAAAGCUUCUCUGAAAAGAGAUAGAUGCUUGAGAUGAUAGAAUAAGUUUUAACCACUUUUUUGCUCUCUCGCGAUACCUCUGUCUCAUACAAAUUUUCAUUUGAGCAUCUUUGAUACCUUUAAUUAUUACCUACGAUUGUUACAGUUGUAACAGUUGUUUGAAU
rnacentral:misc_RNA from 1 species